AUUCAAAUAGUUUAAAUAAAAAUACUGGUUUGUGGAACCAGAGAUAUAAAUACUUAUUUUGGAUA
rnacentral:tRNA from 1 species